rnacentral:rRNA from 1 species
UACCCGCUGAACUUAAGCAUAUCAAUAAGCGGAGGAAAAGAAACCAACAGGGAUUGCCCUAGUAACGGCGAGUGAAGCGGCAAAAGCUCAGAUUUGAAAUCUGGUGUCAUUUUGGCAUCCGAGUUGUAGUCUGUAGAGGAGCAUUCGAGUGUAGCUUUGGCUUAAGUUCCUUGGAACAGGACGUCAUAGAGGGUGAGAACCCCGUUAACGGCCGUUGUCUUAUGCUCAUGUGAAUCUCCUUCAACGAGUCGAGUUGUUUGGGAAUGCAGCUCUAAAUGGGUGGUAAAUUCCAUCUAAAGCUAAAUACUGGCAAGAGACCGAUAGCGCACAAGUAGAGUGAUCGAAAGAUGAAAAGAACUCUGAACAGAGAGUUAAAUAGUACGUGAAAUUGUUGAAAGGGAAGCACUUGCAACCAGACGCACUUGCAGCUGAUCAACCUCCAUUCUUGGAGGUGCACUCAGUUGUUUGUGGGUCAGCAUCAGUUAUGGCGGUGGGAAAAAGACCAAGGGAAUGUAGCUCCUUUCGGGGAGUGUUAUAGCCCUUGGUGUAAUGCUGCCUGCUAUGACUGAGGACUGCGCUUUGGCGAGGAUGCUGGCAUAAUGGUUGUAAGUGACCCGUCUUGAAACACGGACCAAGGAGUCUAACAUCUAUGCGAGUGUUUGGGUGUUCAAACCCUUACGCGGAAUGAAAGUAAAUGGAGGUGGGAACCGCAAGGUGCACCAUCGACCGAUCCUGAUGUUUACGGAUGGAUUUGAGUAGGAGCAUAGCUGUUGGGACCCGAAAGAUGGUGAACUAUGCCU